rnacentral:rRNA from 1 species
UACGUAGAGCGCAAGCGUUGUCCGGAAUUAUUGGGCGUAAAGAGCUCGUAGGCGGCUUGUCACGUCGGGUGUGAAAGCCCGGGGCUUAACCCCGGGUCUGCAUUCGAUACGGGCUGGCUAGAGUGUGGUAGGGGAGAUCGGAAUUCCUGGUGUAGCGGUGAAAUGCGCAGAUAUCAGGAGGAACACCGGUGGCGAAGGCGGAUCUCUGGGCCAUUACUGACGCUGAGGAGCGAAAGCGUGGGGAGCGAACAGG